GCGUCAGCAGGCGAGAAUUUUGGGCAAUGGCCGAAAGGCUGACCCAGCGACGCUGCGUGUGGGAUGAAGCCCUUCGGGGCGUAAACCACUUUUCAGAAGGACGAGGGUUCAUCCGGCGAAUACCCGGACGGAUUGACGGUACUUCUGGAAUAAGCUCUGGCUAACCCCGUGCCAGCAGCCGCGGUAAGACGGGGAGAGCAAGCGUUGCCCGGAAUCAUUGGGCUUAAAGGGGGCGUAGGCGGUUAGGUGUGUCAGACGUGUAAACUAUCGGCUCAACCGAUAGCCUGCGUUUGAAACUACCUAGCUCGAGGGCGAAAGAGGAGAGCGGAACGUCCCGGUGUAGCGGUGAAAUGCGUAGA
rnacentral:rRNA from 1 species